rnacentral:rRNA from 1 species
UGGGGAAUUUUGGACAAUGGACGCAAGUCUGAUCCAGCCAUGCCGCGUGCGGGAAGAAGGCCUUCGGGUUGUAAACCGCUUUUGUCAGGGAAGAAACGCUCUGGGCUAAUACCCUGGGGUAAUGACGGUACCUGAAGAAUAAGCACCGGCUAACUACGUGCCAGCAGCCGCGGUAAUACGUAGGGUGCGAGCGUUAAUCGGAAUUACUGGGCGUAAAGCGUGCGCAGGCGGUUAUGUAAGACAGAUGUGAAAUCCCCGGGCUCAACCUGGGAACUGCGUUUGUGACUGCAUAACUAGAGUACGGCAGAGGGAGGUGGAAUUCCGCGUGUAGCAGUGAAAUGCGUAGAUAUGCGGAGGAACACCGAUGGCGAAGGCAGCCUCCUGGGCCAGUACUGACGCUCAUGCACGAAAGCGUGGGGAGCAAACA